CAGGGCUGUGUGCGGGGCCCGGGAGACAAGGCUGGAGGAGCUGGCAAAGGCAGUUCAAUCCGGGAUGUGGUGGCCACGUCACAGAGUUUGCCUUCCAGGUUAAGGAAGCCUUUGAAGGUUUCAAGCGGGGAAGUGACAUGGUCUGACUUGAGUGUGAAUCGCUCGCUCUGGCCAGCGUGUGGACAGAUCGCCAGCACCUCGUUUUUACCUUUUGGAGAUCUGACAGCGGAUUCCAACCUUGAUUCCACUGGGAACCAUUCAGGGAGCUUUAAAAAAUACUGACCCCCGACCUCGUUGGGGAUCAAGAAUGGAUCGAUGGAAUCAGUCUGAGGUACGGCCUGGGCAUCCAGAUGUUACAAUGCUCCUCACGGAUUCCACUACAUGGCCAUAGCUGAGAACCAUAGUCUAGAGACUGAACGAUGGCGGCCCCGCUGUAAACCAUUUCUCAAAGGCUCAGUCAAGCACGUAUGAACUUCAUGAGGCAGAAGGAUGAAGGUGACCGAAGCAUGAGGGUACCAUGGCCCAACACAGGCUCCCAGCUCUACCUCCUUCAUCUUCAACACACGCGACACCUGGACUAUCUGAUGCCCAGACUGAGUGAAGGGGCCAAGGUUUCACUUUUGUUUUCUAGAGAAGUAAAUGUAAAUAGUGGCUUUCUCAUCUACCACGCUUUAGAGGUGAAUGCUUGAGGGGCUCUGCUCCCCAACUUUUAUGAUUACACAAGCCCCAGUGCAUCUAAGUGGGGACCCCAAGGAGCCAAGAGAAACAGAGCCAAAAAGGCAAC